AGGUCAAUCAUGGGACAAUAUGAUAGCAAUAUAUCAAUUAUGCAGUGAUAGAAAAACUGGGAUUAAUGCAUGUGCAUACAUUUUUGUUCAAGACGAGCCCAUGCAGUCCCCACAGGCCUAUCACGGCUGACAGUUUCAAUUUUAUGGAUUUCUAGGUUAACAGGUACACCCCACUAGACUAUGCACUGAUGGGUGAACGUAAUGAGGUGGCUCAGUUUCUCCUUGAGCAGGGAGUUCUUUCCAUCACAGACACAAAACUCAAGAUUCGCAGCUCGUUUGAAAAUAUUUCAAAGGCCGCAUAUUUUGUUUCGACUCGAAAAAGGCUAGGGAUGGAAAUAUGUUGCAGACGUUUGUUGAGUUAUACGCUUAAUGAUAGAAGUGGGCAAUCGAAAUAGAAACCAGGAAGAUUUGGGAAAAGUUUAAUAGACCUGGCUGUACUAGUCAAGUAAACAAGACAAUUAUCGACUUAAGGUUGACAAAAAUUGAGUGAAACCGUGAUAAGUUAGUACAAUUAAUGGUGUAUAUAUUAAGAUAGUGUGUGGUUUUGCGUGGGAUUUCAUACAGUUAAAAUAAUCUGAUUUAACGCUAGUGAAGUGCGUUAUAAAUUUGAACACGUCUUUCUUGGAUAUUGAAAAAUAUAUACAGCAUAUUUAAAAAAAAUAACAAAGAACGUUGGAUUCACUAGUGUUUAAAUUAACUCUGGUUAAAACCCCGAUAGUUGUAAGCGGAAAUCGUGUUGUAUGACAACAAAACGCGGACAAUCAUAAAAGUCGAUGAGCAAUCAUAAGCAAUAAGUCUAAAAAUAACAACAAUAAGAGCAUUAACAUGUCCGAAAACUCGGUAAAAACGAACGAAAGUGGUGAUUCCAUCGUCAGCAACGAUUACAGGUGGGUGGCUGAGUUCUUAGCGGGGCCCGGCGGCUACCUGGAAAAAACGGAAGUGGUCAGUGACUGGUUCCCGAACCGCCAGGCCGCCACGGACGACGCGUGCCAACAACGAGGUGCCGGACUAUCCUUUCUCGCGCGGCCGGUUCUCAAACUGAUAGUCGAGGACAAAAACCGAAGUGUUGAAGAGCUCAGCAACGCUAGGAAUGUAAACUCUCGGCGGUGACAGCGACGCGCAGGGAGGCGAAACAUUCAUGUUUGUUUUCUUAAUAACAUUAAAACAUGUUUUAAUAUCAUAUUAAAGCGGCGAAUUGUUCCCGGGAGUUGACAGAGUCGCGUGGAGUGCGAGGCAUUGUUGCGUUUUUAUUAUGCCAUGAAUGCGGCGUAACAUUUGUACGAAUGCAAAACACACCAUUUACUUUGUGUAAGAAGGCUGGAUUCUGCAUAAAAAGCAGAAUAUGUAUCUCGUGUGCAUAUCUAUCAGUGACUAAAGUGUCUUCCCAGAUUAGCCUGUGAAGUCCGCACAUGCUUACAAGGAACGACCUACACUGGACACUACAUUUUCGAUAAGAAGAGACUUCCAUUAGACAAAAAAAGACAUAAAAGCGGAAAGUGUCGUAUCUGAAUAGCCUGUACACGCCAUUACGUGUAGGAGGAUUAUAUCCGUCAUGAACAUACAUUUUGCCAAAGGAUGUAUUCAUACUCGUGUAUCAAUCAUCCAAUAUAUCGUAUACAUUGAUAACGAAUGUUUCACGACAUGACAGUAAACUUAUUAUUGUGUGUAUUUUGCAUAAUUUAAAUAUCAUAUACUUGACUCUUAGACGGAUUUGAAAUGUUCAUUUGUAUUCAACUUAAUAAACAAUGAUUGCUCUAAUAAUUAAAUACUCUUCCCCGAAGUACAGUAACAUAAUAUUAUGUAAUGGACUUUUUACGUUAUAUUGCGCAUAUUAAAUAUACCAAGAGAUUGUGAGACAUACUAUCAUAAAGUUAAAUAUUUAAAUAAUUUGCACUUCCUUGAAGAAGAGGUAUCGUCGGCUUUAAAAUGACAGGCUGAAAAGUCCGACUGUUUCCAUUAACUAUGAAUAUUGUAUGUACUUGAACUUGUCAGUAAAACUGUUUGAUACCUGGUUUAUUUAGUGACUUAACAAAACAUGGCAAAACAAACAUUGAUUGGGAAGCGAUACAGAUAUCGAUUAAGAGACUUAUGUGCAAAUGGUGUACAUGCACGUCAGGAUUGUGUUCAAUAUCGUUCCCAACCAGAAUCGUACUGCUCUGACUUUAAAGGGACCUUUCACGUUUUGGUAAAUUGACAAAAUUGACAAAAAAUGUUUUAGAUUCGCAUAUUGUUGUUGUCGUUAUGAUAUUUGUGAGGAAACAGUAAUACUGAACAUUUACAAUGCUCUAAAAUAUCCAUUAUAUGCAUCUUUUUACGAUUUAAAAACUUGAAAAUUAUAAAGCGCUGCAACGCGAAACGAUUGAAUAAUUUGGAGAGUUAUUUUGUUGUCGAUAUAUUUUGUGACAAAACGAGAAUUGCUUAGAUAAAGUAUAAACUACAACGAAAAUUUGCGAGACUGAGACUUUUUAUUUCCUAAAUUUACCAAAACGUGAAAAGGCCCCAUUAAUUCGUGUUGAUGUUCUAUUCUACUACACCGUUCAAGGGCGAAACAUCUUUAGAUUAACGAAUGUCGAGGUUUGGCCUAAAACCAUCGUAUCAGGAAUAAAAAUCAUUGAAAAGAUAGCACACGUUCGCACUCAACUCUCGAAUGCGCAUUCCAAGAACGGGAAAUAGCAACUAGAACACAGGUACUUGAAAAAAUAAAGUACCUGUGAACUAGAAUGGCCAACUUAUAAUUUAUUUUUCUGUGUUUUUCUAGACUAAUAUAAAAAGUCCAGAAUCAAAUCGAGUGCAUACACGUUGUCGGACGGUAAAUAUCAACGUAACAAAUCUUUCUAACCGUUUCAAUAAAACCUCCACACAGACUCGGUCGUAAAUCGUCCAAUUCAUUACAAGCAUCAAUGAAAACGUUCUAAUGAAAACACCAUUAAGUGUCGCGUGGACGCGUGGGAAUCAAUCUUCAUCCAUAUUUAAUCUUCCAAUUGGACACUAAUAGUACGAAACAGGAGCACCGUCUGAUUGCCGUAGCUAAGAUCACAAAGGCUGUUGAUUGAACAGUAAAAGGUUCAAACACAUAAUUUUAAGCAGUACAACAACAAAUCACAUUCAGCUUCUUGUUUAUACAAUGGGAGGACCCGGAAUAAGGUUCUUAUUUUCCUAAAUGUGCUCAGCAUUGUUUGCGUGCAUUCUGUAUUGCGUCCUUAAUAUAGUAGCAAAAUCAUUCGAAAUUCUUUGUCAUAAAACAAGCCAGAAUUAGUUCAACUUCCUCUUAAAUACCCGCAUUUAAUCACAACACAUUAUUAUAACGAUUUCAUUUAUUUUAAACAUAUACUAUUUUAGAUAAAGUUCAUUUAAACGCCGUGAUCAUUACAAAUCAUCAUGGCAGUUUUUUUUUAAUUCAGUGUUAUGCUUUAAGGUUGGAGACUACAUGAGACUUUGAAAGUUUGCGGGAAACCCUUAUCAACUGGAGUGAAGCCGGUAAAAAGAUGGCCGUAAAAUAGUGUCCGUUGGUUCGCGUCGAGCUCUUUCUAACAUACUACAUGACCUGUGUUUUAAAACCAUUUGGCUUGGAAUGCAUUUAAAGAAAAGGUAUGGUUAUGAGGGUCUCUACGGGCAAAAGAUUGUAUUUUAUUUGUGUUUAAGUUAUUGCUUAUACAUUGUAUUUGUUAAAGGAAAUCUUUUAGUAUAGUGUGACCUCAACAGUUUUAAUGGCAAUCUUGAUACAUCUUCAUGAUACAUCGGGUUGAUCAGUAAGGUUGAUUUAUGCACCCAAAGUCCUCUCUUCCCAUUGACGUUGAAAGCUCAACAGUCAAAGCUGAUGAUAAUGUUAAGGAAAGAUUGCAGUGUCAAUUUUUUAUUUAUCUAAAUGGAUCAGAUAAAAGUCCAAUCUUAUCUAAUGGAAGAAAGAACUAUUGAUCUUUUAAUUUUACAGUUUCUUCGUAUUUCGUGAUUUCAAAUACCUUGUUAAAGUUAAUGAUGUUGUCAUCGCAUUGUUCAUAAUUCGUUAUUUACAGUCUGAGGCAGGAUUUGACUUUCCAAUCUUGCUGUGUGGAAAUUGAAUAAUAAUUAUCGACACAAUCGUAAUAAAAUGUUCUAAACCGAA